GCCUUCGUGGUGUAGUGGGCAGCACGCUCGACGCGUAACCGAGAAGUCCAUGGUUCGAUUCCCGGCGAAGGCG
rfam:Stegodyphus mimosarum contig56455, whole genome shotgun sequence.